CAUAUUCAACAGCACGUGUUCAAGGUUUAUCAAGAGCUGUGUUCGUCGCGAACGGUUACCUAAUGUCACAACCGUCUCAACUUCGAGUGAUCCUUGCAGAUCAUGAUGUCCGUAAAGUUGUACUACCAUCUGGAAUCCCAGAAACGGUGGAUGACCUUUAUUCAGCCAUCCGUGAUACCUUUUCCAUUACAAGAGACUUCUGUCUUCACUAUAAAGAUGCUGAUUUUGGUGAUGAGUUUUUUACCCUUGUUUCGACAACUGACCUUAAGGACAAGGACACAAUCAAGAUUGUGUUUCUCCAGGACCAGGAGCCUACAAUAACCUUGACCUUAAGUGAUGUGACC
ensembl:lncRNA